UCAAGUUUCCGUAGGUGAACCUGCGGAAGGAUCAUUA
rnacentral:rRNA from 1 species